rnacentral:rRNA from 1 species
ACUCAAAUGAAUUGACGGGGGCCCGCACAAGCGGUGGAGCAUGUGGUUCAAUUCGAAGCAACGCGCAGAACCUUACCAGCCCUUGACAUGUCCCGUAUGGACUUCAGAGAUGAGGUCCUUCAGUUCGGCUGGCGGGAACACAGGUGCUGCAUGGCUGUCGUCAGCUCGUGUCGUGAGAUGUUGGGUUAAGUCCCGCAACGAGCGCAACCCUCGCCCUUAGUUGCCAUCAUUUAGUUGGGCACUCUAAGGGGACUGCCGGUGAUAAGCCGCGAGGAAGGUGGGGAUGACGUCAAGUCCUCAUGGCCCUUACGGGCUGGGCUACACACGUGCUACAAUGGCGGUGACAGUGGGACGCAAUGGAGCAAUCCUGCGCAAAUCUCAAAAAGCCGUCUCAGUUCGGAUUGGGGUCUGCAACUCGACCCCAUGAAGUCGGAAUCGCUAGUAAUCGCAGAUCAGCACGCUGCGGUGAAUACGUUCCCGGGCCUUGUACACACCGCCCGU